rnacentral:lncRNA from 1 species
GUGUCAGUCACUGAAACUGAGUAUCAAAAUAAGCUCAACUCAGAAUCAUGUGCAUACAUCUAUAUCUAUCCACCUCAAUGAACAAAUAUUCAUAUGAUCAAUUUUUUACUGGUGAAGAAAAUUCACUUUUUUGGGGGGAAAGAAUUUCCAGGGAGGAUGAUCAUAGGAGUUCCUUGAAACUUCAUGAGCAUAAAUGGAGACCCCUGCAAGCAGAGAAUUAUUGCAGAUCUAUCAGUGCUCCCAGACUGCCAGUUGGUAGUCUGUUACAUGACAGGAUGUCCCAGUACAGCUCAGGUGAAACCAGAUCUGGCCCAACCUUGCUCCUGCAACACAGAAUUCUACCUAGAUUUUGUCUCUGGAGUCAUCUUUCAAAAAUCCAAGGGUGAAUGAAUUAUCCAUGAUCCACAUUGUUCCAGUGGGGCAACAAGUACACAGAAUGAAUUUUCAAGAAUGGCCAGAGAAGAUACCUACCCACAUAUACCAAAGUCCUUGGGGAAAGAAAUAAGGGAAGAAGGCAUCUUCCUCACAUUGUGGGAUCACAAACCAGCAAUGAGAGAAAACAGGGAAGAUGCUGAAGUCAAUCAAUAUACCAUCAGUUGAAAAGGAUUCACAAUACCUGUAGUCUCUGAAUUGAUCAUUCUUAUGGUUUUUCGUCUUUCACUCUAUUUUUGAAUUAGGACCUUUUGUCUAGUGAUGAUUCUAGUUACCUAAUUCUCAGGAUUUUCUUUUAGACAAUAUUGUUUAUAGUCUCUAUACUUCCCUAUGUGGUCCCAGUCAUUGACUUCUUUUGUCUCUGGAAGCAGCAGUAACCCCAGUCAAAAGGAUUUUUAUGGUUUAUCCAAAAAUUGUCAUUACUUUUUCUCUCCCAUGGGGGAGAAGAGGGGGGUCACAUAAAAAUAAGGUGACACAAGAUUUUUGUGUAAAUACUGAAUGUAAUUCUCAUUUGAUUUCUACCUUUUGCCCCCUGCCCCUAUACAUUUGCAAAAAACCCUAGAGAAUCUAUUUUCAAGCCAUUUUCAGAUUAAGAUGUAGAACACUUAUUUCUUGAGUUUUCUAUUUAUUUCCUCUUCUUACAUAUGACAAGACUGUCAAAGGGUGGUGACUUUUUUUUAUCAUAGCAACUCUG